rnacentral:rRNA from 1 species
AAACAUUUCUGAGGGGAAAAUGUUUUUAGUAUAACCUGCUCAAUGCUUUAGUAAAUAGCUGCAGUAUUUUGACUGUACAAAGGUAGCAUAAUCAUUAGUCUUUUGAUUGGAGGCUCGUAUGAAUGGUUGAACAGAAUAUUAACUUUUUUAAUUAUUCGAUGUUUUAAUUUAUAGUUUAUGUAAAAAUGCAUAGUUACUUGAAAGGGACGAUAAGACCCUAUAGAAUUUAAAAAUGUUCAUGAGAAAAUAUUGUAUUUUUUUGUUGGGGUGACAGUAAAUAAACUUUUAUGUAAUUCUCAUUGUUGAAUGUACAAUUGAUCCUAAUGUUUAGAUAAAAAGAUAAAAUUACCUUAGGGAUAACAGCAUGAUUUUUUUUAAAAGAUCUUAUUAAUAAAAAAGAUUAUGACCUCGAUGUUGAAUUAAAAUAAAAUUUUGGUGUAGAAGCUUAAUUU